rnacentral:lncRNA from 1 species
UGGGUUGUUCAAAAACACAGAUAUAUAGGGAAAGAGAGAGAAACGGGAGAGACACGUGAGAGAAAGAUGAAAGAGUUGAGAGAGUGACGGUUGGCGGCCAUUUUCUCCGGCCGACCGUCUAGCAGAGAGAGAGAGAGAGCGUUAGAGAGAGAAAGAGAAACGGUGGUGGUUACCAGGCGUCUGAGAUGACGGCGGCGGGUUCUAGAGUCCCGAUCUGUCAAGUUAUCGCCGGUUGUGGCUUCUCCAAGGCGGUCAGUGGGUUAAUUGGGAUAAUCCGGUGGAGAUGCCGGCUAAGUCGUGCUCCUCGCGGUUGUUAGAUCGGGCCAUAAGACUACGGGAUAGGGAAAUCUUUCGGCGGUGACCCGUUACAUGCGGCGGUUCAGUGAGAGAGUGACGGUGAGGGAGUUGGCCACCCACGGCGGCCACAUGCUAUUUCAAGUGCAUGUCAAUGAUGGGUGAGAUUAAAUCAAAGGUAUCUUGGUAUAAGAGAGGUUGUCUAGAUCAAUUCUGGAUGAUGUUGAGGUUUUUGGGGAAAUUUCAGGCGGUAGCAGUAGCUAGCUGCUAGCGAUGAAACGGUUCACCCGUCAUGAAGCAGCGAGGGUACUAAGGAAGAGGUGUGUCUGAACCACGUGUUGGGAUUGUUCGGAUCCAGUUGGACUUUUGUGCCCCUGUUGUUGUGAAUCUGCGGUUCAAUCCCCAAAGUUAAAUUAUUAGAAGUGUUUUGUGGUAUGCAAGCUUUGGAUUUUACAUUAGAUGAACAACAACAUAGCCUAUCUGAACGGGCCAAACAAUGCAUCAAAGAAGGUUGGUGAUUUCAGAGUGUGCGGAGCGCUACUAACCGGAAAUGUGUUGGAAAAUCAAUGUAUAUUGAGAAAGCAAGGUUAUUGUUUUUGAACAAUGAUGCAAAGCGUAUGAGUCCUUAUAUUAAAAAACUUGGGCAAAGCAUUGGCAACAAAAAUAAAAGCUUCAUUGGCAGAGGUAUGUAGUGCUCAACACGUGGACUAAUGAUACCAAAGUUGAAGACGUGAACGUUUUCUGAGCCGAAGACCGCCACAAAGAAUUUCGGUCAGUAAUCGUUACCUAGAGAGGGUGGUUACCGGACUGUUUUUGUAGGCUGGUUAGAUAUUGUUACAUUUCCCCACUGAAGGCUGGUGAUGGGAUUGCAGUGGCCUUCGAGAAAACAAAUCCCAGUGGGUAUAGGGUCUCAAUGAGUGGCAUGUUACUCUUUUAUUGGUGUAUGAGAAUUAUCAUUAUAUGAUUAUAUUUGUUUUUGAAGAUAAAUGUAUGAAAUUAGCAAAGUUAGAUUGUUAUUUUGGGUGUUUGGUGACAAUCACCAAAGCAUUCUGUUGGUAACUAACGUGUAUUUAUACCUA